rnacentral:rRNA from 1 species
AGACAGCCAGGAUGUUGGCUUAGAAGCAGCCAUCAUUUAAAGAAAGCGUAAUAGCUCACUGGUCGAGUCGGCCUGCGCGGAAGAUGUAACGGGGCUAAACCAUGCACCGAAGCUGCGGCAGCGACACUGUGUGUUGUUGGGUAGGGGAGCGUUCUGUAAGCCUGUGAAGGUGUGUCGUGAGGCAUGCUGGAGGUAUCAGAAGUGCGAAUGCUGACAUAAGUAACGAUAAAGCGGGUGAAAAGCCCGCUCGCCGGAAGACCAAGGGUUCCUGUCCAACGUUAAUCGGGGCAGGGUGAGUCGACCCCUAAGGCGAGGCCGAAAGGCGUAGUCGAUGGGAAACGGGUUAAUAUUCCCGUACUUGGUGUUACUGCGAAGGGGGGACGGAGAAGGCUAUGUUGGCCGGGCGACGGUUGUCCCGGUUUAAGCGUGUAGGUGUGUGUUCCAGGUAAAUCCGGUUCACUUUAACACUGAGGCGUGACGACGAGGCACUACGGUGCUGAAGCAACAAAUGCCCUGCUUCCAGGAAAAGCCUCUAAGCAUCAGGUAACAUCAAAUCGUACCCCAAACCGACACAGGUGGUCAGGUAGAGAAUACCAAGGCGCUUGAGAGAACUCGGGUGAAGGAACUAGGCAAAAUGGUGCCGUAACUUCGGGAGAAGGCACGCUGACACGUAGGUGAAGUGAUUUACUCAUGGAGCUGAAGUCAGUCGAAGAUACCAGCUGGCUGCAACUGUUUAUUAAAAACACAGCACUGUGCAAACACGAAAGUGGACGUAUACGGUGUGACGCCUGCCCGGUGCCGGAAGGUUAAUUGAUGGGGUCAGCGCAAGCGAAGCUCCUGAUCGAAGCCCCGGUAAACGGCGGCCGUAACUAUAACGGUCCUAAGGUAGCGAAAUUCCUUGUCGGGUAAGUUCCGACCUGCACGAAUGGCGUAAUGAUGGCCAGGCUGUCUCCACCCGAGACUCAGUGAAAUUGAACUCGCUGUGAAGAUGCAGUGUACCCGCGGCAAGACGGAAAGACCCCGUGAACCUUUACUAUAGCUUGACACUGAACAUUGAGCCUUGAUGUGUAGGAUAGGUGGGAGGCUUUGAAGUGUGGACGCCAGUCUGCAUGGAGCCGACCUUGAAAUACCACCCUUUAAUGUUUGAUGUUCUAACGUGGACCCGUUACCCGGGUUGCGGACAGUGUCUGGUGGGUAGUUUGACUGGGGCGGUCUCCUCC